UAGAGAAAGACAGCAUAAACCAGAAAAAAGAAAAAGUUACUCUUCAACUUCUCAGUCGGCUAGUCUCACCUUCACAGCCUCUCUCUACAUAGGCUUCAUGAAACGGCUCUUCUUCCUCAUUUAUCUCUUCUUCGUCAUCAUCACUCUGUUGGAAUCGAAAGAAGAGGAGAAGAAUUCCGUUUCGAUAACUACUGGGUUCAGGGUUUUUGUGGGUUUUGAAAGGCUGAACAUUGGAGUUUGGAAUGUGGUUAUCUGGGCGAUUGAUUGGGAGGGUUUCAAGGAAAUGCUUUAAGGAGAGUUACAUCUUACAACCUGGAAUAUGGGCUUUUGAACAUCAAACCUGAAGGUUGCUCAGGAGUCAUUGGCAGAAGACUCAUUGAGGCAGCCAAAAUGAGAGCUGGGAGUUACAGUGGAGGAAUAAAAUGUGACUUGAGUGUGGCAAUAGCCCUUACCUGAUGACAGAAUUGCCAUCACUUGAAGCUUUAUGACAUCGGAUUAUUAUCUCAACCAAGGCACCAAAAGUUGGCGAAGAAAGUGACAAGGAUUCGUCUGAAAAAUCAGAAAGGAGUGACAGUGAUAGAGAAACUGAGGGCAAAACUGCAGUUGACAUCAAACCUGUCCAGUCUGAAGUCUGAAGCACCCAAGUACGUGGAACUUAUAACAAUCCACGCUGGAAAACCAUAGGGUGGUUUGGAAGAAGCUCUAGAGGUUGGUGAAAAAGUAAGACGUCUUAGUUUGAGUGAAUAAAACUAGAAAAGGCUGCUGAAAAUCAUGGAACUGAUAUUGUUAGGUUCACACAGAGGAACAUUCUAAGGAUCUACCCCAAAGGAACAUGAGUUACCUCCUCGAAUAACCAAUCGCAUGUUGGAGAUCGAUAAGAAAUAUAACCCGAUCUCUGGAUAUAAAACUUUAUGACAAGGACGUGGCAAAUCACGAUUGUUGAUGAAUGGGAUAUUUAGAGCCAAUUAAUGAGGAUGCGGUUACUUGAAAAAGCCUGCCUUUUUUAUGCACAAGGGCGCAAAUGAUGAGGUUUUUGAUCCUAAAAGGACCUUGAUAGUGGCAAAGACAUUGAAGGUGAAAGCAUACAUGGGGAAUAAAUGGCACUUGGAUUUUAGUCAAACACACUUCGAUUCAUUCUCCCCACAGACUUCUACACAAAAGUUAGUAAGAUCCGUUUUUGUUUUUCUGAUAAUUCAAGAAUUUGAUUCUAUUUUAGUUAUUGUUGCAAUCAGCUACAUUCCUAUUUUACUUUACCUUGAAUUUUAGACCAGCUCAUAAGCGAAUAUUGGAGUUGAGUAAUUGGGUUGACUAUAUGAUGAGGACAUCAUAGUCAAACCUUUUAAGGUUUAUGAGCGAAAGAAAUGGAAAAAGAGAGCAGCUAGUCAUUCCCUUUCCAUAUGGUUUGAUUAAUUGCUUUCAUUCUAGAAGUCUCUAGGCAGGUGUCUUUUCAGUUUCAGUUUGGGAGUUUUAAGUUUCUUUAUUAUUUCAAUUUCAGUUUAGGAGAUUAAAUUCCUUUAUUAGGUCUUUUAUGCUUCAGUUUUGUGAAGUGUAACAGCCCUAGCUAUGAAUGAGUCUUUAAUGCUAGUUAAUAUGAGCUAUCUGCUCAAAUAUAAAUAAGUGUAAGUGCCAAGUGGCCAGAUAUGUCUUGAUGAAUAAAAAAUUUCAGUGUGUUUCUGAGUUUUACUGAGAUUGGAGUGUUGGUGUGAAGCCUUGUGAGUGAGUGAGAAACCUGGGAGGGAUUCCUAGUUCAGAGUUCUCACUUUCUACCCUACAAAACCUGGGUGUUAAAGCCCUAAACCUUAGAGUUUGUUGAUCCUGGUGCCUAGGCAGUGAAUUUACUGCAUCACUAUAUACUGCUAAUAUACUUCUUUAACAUUACAUCUAACAUGCUUGCCAAGAUGCUUCUAUUGUUUGUUAUUAAGUUUCUAUAAAUGCAAAUACAAGAUUUUUUUUUUUGUCUCAUGGAAAGUUGUGCUUAACAUCUGUGAGUUUAUGCUCGUUGUGUUGUUCAUGGUUGUAAAUUGUUCCAACUGAUUGGAAAUGGGCAGUUACCUUCUUAACAAUUGAUACAAAUUUCAUGUGCGAUGCAUUUCGAUGUCGAGAUCCCUUAGGUCUGAAAAUAUGUUGCUUGGUUGUGUAAGCAUAACUUGCAUAUUAAAGUAUAAGGUUUUAUACUAGCAUAUGUUAUUUAAUAUGACAAAGUACAAGUAUCAUCUCUCCUUUUGAGUGACAGUUCUGUAAUAGAACAGUGGGAGUGGAUUGCUAUAUAGGAGUGCCUACGAUACGAAAGCAAGCAUUCAAACCUGCAGCAAGCAAACAAAACCGCGGCGAAGAAUAAGAUUUGUUUUUUUUUUCUUUUCUUUUUUUCAGUUGUAUUAGAAUUUGGUUUCUUUUAUAGGGUGAUUGUUUUCUAAUUGUGUCUUUUCUGGUGGCAAGUUUGUACCUUUUCCGUAUAUAGAUUUAGCUUUUGGGGGUGCAGUUCUGCAUGAAAGCAAGGUUUCCAGAUGGUGCAAGACUGGAGUUUAAACUAAAUUUGAUUAUGUCUGAUUCUUUGCAAUUUUGUGUACCCUUAUGUUGCUGGAGAAUUUAUUUUUUUCCUGCAUAUAGCUUUGGCGAUGAGAAAGGUUAGGAUUAUACAGUUCUAGAUUUAUAGGAGAGAGAAAGAUUCAAUUUUUUUUUUUUCACGGAAUCAGUGUGAUUCUAAAUGCCACAAGAACAUAUUCUUAAUUGGUUGAAUCCCAAACCCUUUGAGCAGAUUAAGUACUACCAGGAUACAAAGCCAAUGGUGAUAAAGUGGAAGAAUCUGAGUAUUUGGUUAAAGGUUAAGAUUAGAAGCUAAAUUGGAAGCAAAACUGUACAGGAAAUAGAACAAAACAAAGGUUGGCCUUCAAAAUGGAAGAAAGAUCAUUAUCAUUCUUCUUCUUAAGAAAGCCAAGAAUAAAGAUUUUCAUUAUCAUUCUUUCUGUUUUGGUACAAUUAUGAACAUUGUAGGUCCAGAAUUUGAUUGGAAGGUAUCUGCAGUUGUAUAUGCAGAGAUAAAGUUAGCAAUCCAAAAUCUUGGUAUUAUAGUUUUGGUUGAUAACUCUGAUUAUAUAUACAAAUAGAUCCUGCUGAAUGCCAUAUAUUACUCACAGACCCUCCUCUCAAUCCCACCAAGAACCGUGAAAGGAUUGUCUGUUUUUGUGAUAUCUUUAUUAGGCAGUAGCUUAGUUUGGUAAAUUUUUGUGUACUGUAAUGAAUAUUAUUGUUGGCCUCUCAUGAUUUGGCUUGAUUCAAUGUUUCAAUUCGAGACCAUGUUUGAGAAAUACAAUUUUAUUGCUGUCUUCUUUCAAAAUUGAAGCUGUUUUAACACUGUAUGCUCAAGGUGCUUAUAGAGAUGAUUAAAGGUUAAAUGUUUAUAUACCUGUUUUUACCUCAAUUUGUUAGUUCUUUCUACAUUGUUUGUACAAAUAAGCAUAUCUUUUGUUUUACUUUUUAGUUUUGUGGAAUUUCUGAAGAGGUGUAGAAGUUGUUUUUCAGAUUAAGUUAGCCUGAUACGAGGAAACAGUCUACCCUCAGAAUAAGGUAAUGUGUUCAAACAAUUAUAGUUAUGUUUUUGUUUGUUAUUGAGUAUAUGUUGUUGCAAGGGCCUUCACUUUUCCCAGGUUUCAUAUCUGAUCAGUCUGCGUUUUGUCACCAAGAUAUUUAUAUUGGUGAGUCUGAUUCUAUUUUAAGAAGUGCAACUAUAUUCCUUUAGUUUUCUCUUUGGAAAAGGGUUGCAGCAUUACUUUAUUUAUCUUCUUAUGUUGAUAAUUAGGGAAAUUGCCGUGUGAGGCACAUAGAUCUCAGAAAGCAGCUGUGUUUUUUGAACACAACUGGAACACAUGCCUAGCAACAAAUUACAUAAUUAAAUAGAAAAGUUAUACUAAAAAUGUGAUGGUCCUCUUCAGUGGUUCAGUGUAGGGAAAGCAUAUUGCAUAUUGUGAUGAAUAUAAACAAUGGUACAUUGUCUAUUUAGUAUCUUGAUCAUGUCUCCUUUUGUUUGGUUCAUGGUUACUUUUUGUCUUUAUACCCUCAAAAUCAAUUACGUUAGUGGGAAUACUCUUCCUGUAAAGUAGAUCUGCAUAAGAUAGGAUAGUUUCAAUCAUAAUGCAUCAUGUCUUUAGUUUUGUGUAGGGGUUUGGUUUUUCAUAUCGACUUCAAAUGGGUUUAUAACUCUUAUUUACACAAAAACAGAGCAACAGCAGCCUGUAGCUCAAUGGAACUUUUGUUACUCGCAUCCAAUGAUAAUUAUGAGAAACCACAAUGAGCUUAUUCUAAGCAAAAGAGCUACUACAUAGAGAAACUCAGUCAAACAAUAAAAGUUAUUUCAGUGAGUGAUAGGACAAACCCAAAAUAUUCUUUAGAGUGCUAUAAUCACAAGGAGUAAUUUCAGGGAUCUGAUUUGUGGAGAGAUAGAGAUCAGAUUAAAAAGUUUGCAAAAUCCUCCUUGGAACUCUGCAAGGUGUAUAUGUAUAUGGAGAUUUCUUUGUCUACUAGCAGCGAUGAUGAACUUCCCUCAGCUGAAAGGCACCUAAGGAACAUAAUUAGAUAGGCAAGAUACUUGCCAUUUCAAAAUGUUAGCAUUUGGAAUAUGUUGACAUAUGAUAUACUAAACACUAUUUUAUAUCAUUUGAAUCUCUUUAAUUCCUAUAGAUGUAUUACUAUUUUUGUAACUAAAUAACAUACAUUUGGGACAUGUCAGGUGGGGAGUUUCUCAGACAUGGAGGAACCUCAACAUCUUAAUGCCUGGCUUAAGAAGUGAAGUUAAAACUACUGUUAAAACUGGUGCUGUAGAUGUGUACCGAAAAGGGGGCAUGGUCAACCAGAGAUGAGCUAGAGUUUGAGUUCUUGGGGAGAUAUGCACUUUUCGUCACACAUAGCAUCUUUGAAAGGCCUUCACUUUUUCCAAGAUUGUCGCACUUAUAUGGUGUAACUAAUGUUUGUAAAUUGAAUAAUGUCGAAUUGAAUAAUGUGGAUGAUACACUCGUAGCAUCACCCGGGCUAUCUUGCUAAGUAAUAACUAAACCAUUGUUGGACUAA